rnacentral:rRNA from 1 species
AUUGAACGCUGGCGGCAUGCCUUACACAUGCAAGUCGAACGGUAACAGGUCUUCGGAUGCUGACGAGUGGCGAACGGGUGAGUAAUACAUCGGAACGUGCCCGAUCGUGGGGGAUAACGAAGCGAAAGCUUUGCUAAUACCGCAUACGAUCUACGGAUGCAAGCAGGGGACCGCAAGGCCUUGCGCGAACGGAGCGGCCGAUGGCAGAUUAGGUAGUUGGUGGGAUAAAAGCUUACCAAGCCGACGAUCUGUAGCUGGUCUGAGAGGACGACCAGCCACACUGGGACUGAGACACGGCCCAGACUCCUACGGGAGGCAGCAGUGGGGAAUUUUGGACAAUGGGCGAAAGCCUGAUCCAGCCAUGCCGCGUGCAGGAUGAAGGCCUUCGGGUUGUAAACUGCUUUUGUACGGAACGAAAAGACUCUGGUUAAUACCUGGGGUCCAUGACGGUACCGUAAGAAUAAGCACCGGCUAACUACGUGCCAGCCGCCGCGGUAAUAC